rnacentral:rRNA from 1 species
UACGUAGGGUGCGAGCGUUAAUCGGAAUUACUGGGCGUAAAGCGUGCGCAGGCGGUUUUGUAAGCCAGGUGUGAAAUCCCCGGGCUCAACCUGGGAAUGGCAUUUGGGACUGCAUCGCUGGAGUGCGGCAGAGGGGGAUGGAAUUCCGCGUGUAGCGGUGGAAUGCGCAGAUAUCAGGAGGAACACCAAUAGCGAAGGCAGCUCACUGGGACGUUACUGACACUGAGGCGCGAAAGCGUGGGGAGCGAACAGG